AAAACUGUGAAUGGAAAAAGGAGAAGGGGAGAGAAACGGGGGAAAUCUGGAUAAUACAUUAAAGUAACCAUAAUUUUGGAGAUGCAUUCAUCUUAUUGAAAAUAUAUUUCCUCAUGGUUGUGAUUCCUCUUCACUCUUUUGAAUUUGGAAGGAUGGCAUACACAUCUGAAAAAUACCACUACUUCCUUCAUUGGACUGCAAGGUAUUUCUGUUUGGAAAAGUAAUGGAGUCCAGUCAACUUCAUUGAUCGCCAAGGACUGUCAAAAUUAUAAAACUUGCUGUGGAGCUCUGACAUGCCAGAAGCCGCUAGAAAAAGAAGUUUGACAUUCAGAAACUUAUCAAGAGGUUCUACUCUUUGGAUAGAGACCAAAAUCAUACUUUGAAAAAGCCUGACAGGUUUCUUCGGAAAAGUGGCCAUCCAUGGAAUGAAUGAAAUGUUCUCUUUCUAUUCCAGGGAUUGCAGUGGCAAAGCUAGGCUAGGUCUUGGAGGCUGGUGUAAGGCGAUGUGGGUGAAGGCAGGAGGCUGAUGGAAAGACUGGGGGGAAGAAAAGCCGAAAUGGAUUCACGGUGCCUUGGAUGAAGGACGAGAGGGGAACUGCAAGCUCCUUCAACUGGUUCUGUCCGGUGAGAAGUGAUCAAGCUUGGGCUGACAAGAGGCUCAGGGAGCCCUCACGUUCUUUCGCUUUUUUACCUGCCAAUCAAACUGCUACAAGACAACACCCUGAUCUGGCAUGGACAUCGCGGGUCCAAGCCUGUAGCCCCAAAUCGGAUAAUCUCUGCAGCUGAUAACAAGCAAAAGAGAAGCCAGGCAACAGCCAUAUUAAAGAAGAAAACAAUCAACUCUGAGAUCCAACUUAGAAAUAAUGUUUCAUUCAAGAUAAGGCUCGUGGCUUAGGAGAUUGUGACCUGGCUUGCAUCAUUCUAAGACUUCUAUCGUCUGUUUUCAAAACCCAAGGAGGACCUCCUUUUCUGUGUGAUAGUUCCUCAUGCUUUGCCAGCCACUGGGUCUUUAAGGAAGCUUGCCAAGAGUUCCCGGCUGGGAAGGACAGUUCGAGUUCAUCAUAGACAAUGAGCUGGCACCACAGUUUAAGUGACUCACCAACCUGGUUGCCCACUUCAAAAUGUCAAGAACCACACUAUCUAAUUGAAAGAACUGUGUUUUAGCAAAGUGUAAUUGGAUCGCCUGGCAAGAUCAUCUCAAACUAUGUCUCUGACCUUGCCUUUCAGUGGCUAUUUUGAGCACAAGAGGAGAAAGGAAAUGAUUCCUGAAUUAUAUCUUGUUUUUAAAAAUUAAGAUUAAUUAAUACUUGGUUUUAUGUUCAUUCCAUUGUAGGAACUUAGUGAUUAUUACAAAACAGUCAAAAUAGGUCAUAGCAAAAUGAACGUUUAAGAUUAGGUUAAAACAUUCCUCUGAAAUUUUAGUAUUCACUUUUGAAGUGUCAAUUACUAUAUUUCUGUAAUUUCUCAUUUUUUUCUUGGCUUAGAGUCAAGAUGAAAAAUGAUAUUUGAAUCAAAGACAUUGUUUUGUUAUAUAGCCACUCCUUUCUAAAAUGCAAAUCCACCCUCCCCUCACCAAUGCUUUAUUCUUUGUGCGCGCACACACACACACACACACACACACACACACACACACACACAGACAUACACAGAACCAGCACCCAAAUGGUAGAGGAGGUCCUUCCAAGACUUCUAGGACCUGGAUCAUGUAAGCAGUAGAUGAGAAAAUGAAGUAAGAGAUAUAGAGUAAUAACAAUAAAAGUCAAUGAUUUCAUUUUACAAAAAAGUCAUUGUGUAGUACUCAGAUAUUUUUAAGAGCAAGUAUUAUUAUGACUAAAGUAUAUUAUACUUCUAAAUUAUUAUGAUUCUCAUCUAAUUUCAAGCCACACAUAGGCGCCAUUUGAAAGCAUUUUGUGUUACAACCUAUCAACAAAAAUCAACUAAUAGUUUUAUAACGUGCAUAGGUUUACCCCAUGGGGAAUUAAAAUUUUUAUCUGCAAGUAUUUCUGUUGUUGUGAGACUUUAGGACAAGACAACAUUUGGUGUUAACAUAGAAGAAUAUUCUAUGGCUUUUUUAGCUUUAAAGUUCAUUACUCUAAAAUAAAGUACACGUGGUAUUUUUUUCUUCCUAGUGUUCUCUUAUUAUAUGUAGAGUAUUUUCGGUUGUUGUUUUUAACGUAUACAUUAUUUUUAUUAAGUCAUUUCAUAAAAGAUAAGAUAUAUACUAAUAGACCCUUGGUUUUCUCCUAAUUUAAUUAUUUCAAGUCAAGCAAAAUUGGGCAAUUUUCUUUCAGGAAAAAAAAAAUAUUGAGCAUGAUUUUGAGGUAAAACUGAUUAUUUACAGCAUCUUUUCUCUAAUAGGCUAACAUUUAUGAUGGAUCUUAUUUCAAAGUUGAUUAUUCUCAAAGAAAAGUGGAGAUAUUAGAAUUUCCGAGUAAAUUGCAUUGUUUUAAAAAGUACUUUAAUGCAUUGUUCACAUUGUUGCCAGCUAUUGACCAAAAAAGAGAAGAAGAAAAAAGAAAUAAAAAAAGCAGUAUCUGCUCCAAACGUCAAGUUUUGCAGUUUGAAAGACUUGUACAUUAUAAUUGUUUUUUUCUUUUUUGGAAAGCAGUAGUAAUUAAUACCAAAGGCAUAGACAAUUUAGGGCCAUAACCUCCCUUCCCCCCUCUCCACCUUUUUUUUUUUUUUUUUUUUUUUUUAACUUUAACCAUGAUAGGCAUCUCUGCAAGGUAGGUUUUAACAUAUUUUUUUCCUAAUUUUUUUCCCUCCAUUCAGUAAGAAGGAUAAGCUUUUAGAGUACCCAGUCACCGUGGUAACUGCCAAAAAAAUUCUCCUGAAGUUUGAAGAGGUCAGCUAGCAGGGUCAACAACCCUGGCCUCUCUCUGAGCUCGGUCUAGCAUGCCCCAGCCUGCGGUUGGAGUGUCAGGCCAGAUCUGACCCUGGGAGGUGGACCAUUCUGGCUCUGAUAUAAAUUUUUCGAGUCAGUUCAUGGCCUGGACUCUCCAGGUGGCCUCCAAAAUCGAUUUUGACCCCCUGACCCUGUCUCACGGAGGCAUAGCAUCCACCCUAAGUAAGGAUUUAGCCAGGAAUGACAGCUUUCCACUGAGUGUUAUUGGGGACAGUAUAAACAGUUUGGAAAGCAAGUAAGGAGGUGUGAGGGCUAGCAAUCAUUAAAAGCACAUUAAAAAACAAUUUUUAAAAAUCUUUAUUAGAGAAAGUUGUAAAUGCAUAUCUGUUACAGAAUUCCUGUGAUUUGUAGAGUUUUCUAGUCAGUUUUGAAUAUAAAUAGGUCACAUAUCUUUAUCUUUUUGCAUACUUUGUUACAAAUAUGCAAAUAAGAUAGGCAUACUUGCUACAAAAUAGGUACAGCAGGAAUGUAAUAUGUUCAGAAAAGGCAAACUGGUUAUUAAAACACAUUAACAGGUAAGGAGUUUCUAAUAUUUUAAAUACUAAAAUUUUACAUGUGUAUUUUGAAGUUUUUAAAAUGGAAAAAUAAAGAACCUUUAAAA
rnacentral:lncRNA from 1 species